AACGAACGCUGGCGGCGUGGCUAAGGCAUGCAAGUCGAACGGACAUGUUCCAAGGGCAACUGCGGGACAUGUUAGUGGCGAACGGGUGAGGAAUACAUGGAUAACGUACCCUGGACACGGGAAUAGCGGCGGGGGCAACCCCUUUGCGAAAGUGCCGGUAAUACCCGAUGACCCCGCGGAAUCGCAUGGUUCUGCGGGCAAAUGCUCCGACGGUCUGGGAUCGGUUCAUGACCUAUCAGCUAGUUGGUGAGGUAACGGCUCACCAAGGCAACGACGGGUAGCGGGCGUGAGAGCGCGACCCGCCACAUCGGGACUGAGACACUGCCCGGACACCUACGGGUGGCUGCAGCAACGAAUAUUCCGCAAUGGACGCAAGUCUGACGGAGCGACGCCGCGU
rnacentral:rRNA from 1 species